GUAGUGAAUUUCACAUAAGAUUGCAAAUCUUAAAAUAUAGGGUAACCCCUACCCUGGCUUU
rnacentral:tRNA from 1 species